rnacentral:rRNA from 1 species
GGACCCGCACAAGCGGUGGAGCAUGUGGUUUAAUUCGAAGCAACGCGAAGAACCUUACCAAAUCUUGACAUCCCGAUGACAAAGCAUGUAAUGUGCUCUCUCUUCGGAGCAUCGGUGACAGGUGGUGCAUGGUUGUCGUCAGCUCGUGUCGUGAAUGGUGGGUAGUCCGCAACGAGCGCAACCCUUGUCCUUAGUAGCCAGCAAUUCGGUUGGGCACUCUAGGGAGACUGCCCGGGUGAACCGGGAGGAGGUGUGGAUGACGUAACGUCAAAUCAUCAUGCCCCUUAUGAUUUGGGCUACACACGUGCUACAAUGGCGUAAACAAAGGGAAGCAAAUAUGUGAGUAUGAGCAAAUCUCAAAAAUAACGUCUCAGUUCGGAUUGUAGUCUGCAACUCGACUACAUGAAGCUGGAAUCGCUAGUAAUCGCGAAUCAGAAUGUCGCGGUGAAUACGUUCCCGGGUCUUGUACACACCGCCCGUCA